UACGACCACAUCGCGUUAGAACACCGGUUCCCUCACGAUCACCGAAGUUAAGCAACGUCGAGCCUGAUUAGUACUUAGGUGGGUGAACGCUUGGGAAUACCAGGUGCUGUAAG